UACGAAGGGGGCUAGCGUUGUUCGGAUUUACUGGGCGUAAAGGGCGCGUAGGCGGCGCGGUAAGUCACUUGUGAAAUCUCUGAGCUUAACUCAGAACGGCCAAGUGAUACUGCAGUGCUAGAGUGCAGAAAGGGCAAUCGGAAUUCUUGGUGUAGCGGUGAAAUGCGUAGAUAUCAAGAGGAACACCUGAGGCGAAGGCGGGUUGCUAGGCUGACACUGACGCUGAGUGCGCGAAAGCCAGGGGAGCAAACGGG
rnacentral:rRNA from 1 species